rnacentral:rRNA from 1 species
ACGGGAGGCAGCAGUGGGGAAUAUUGCACAAUGGGGGAAACCCUGAUGCAGCGACGCCGCGUGAGUGAAGAAGUAUUUCGGUAUGUAAAGCUCUAUCAGCAGGAAAGAAAAUGACGGUACCUGACUAAGAAGCCCCGGCUAACUACGUGCCAGCAGCCGCGGUAAUACGUAGGGGGCAAGCGUUAUCCGGAUUUACUGGGUGUAAAGGGAGCGUAGACGGUAAGGCAAGUCUGAAGUGAAAUGCCAGGGUUCAACCCUGGAACUGCUUUGGAAACUGUCCUACUAGAGUGCAGGAGAGGUAAGUGGAAUUCCUAGUGUAGCGGUGAAAUGCGUAGAUAUUAGGAGGAACACCAGUGGCGAAGGCGGCUUACUGGACUGUAACUGACGUUGAGGCUCGAAAGCGUGGGGAGCAAACAGGAUUAGAUACCCUGGUA